GACGAACGCUGGCGGCGUGCUUAACACAUGCAAGUCGAACGGAAAGGCCCUGCUUUUGUGGGGUGCUCGAGUGGCGAACGGGUGAGUAACACGUGAGUAACCUGCCCUUGACUUUGGGAUAACUUCAGGAAACUGGGGCUAAUACCGGAUAGGAGCUCCUGCUGCAUGGUGGGGGUUGGAAAGUUUCGGCGGUUGGGGAUGGACUCGCGGCUUAUCAGCUUGUUGGUGGGGUAGUGGCUUACCAAGGCUUUGACGGGUAGCCGGCCUGAGAGGGUGACCGGCCACAUUGGGACUGAGAUUCCGCCCCGACUCCUACGGGAGGCAGCAGGUGGGAAUAUUGCCCAAUGGGCCGAAGCCUGAUGCAGCAACGCCGCGUGGCGGAUGACGGCCUUCGGGUUGGAAACCGCUUUCGCCUGUGACGAAGCCUGGGUGACGGUAAUGGGUAAAGAAGCACCGGCUAACUACGUG
rnacentral:rRNA from 1 species